rnacentral:rRNA from 1 species
UACGUAGGGGGCAAGCGUUGUCCGGAUUUAUUGGGCGUAAAGAGCGUGUAGGCGGCCAUGUAGGUCCGUUGUGAAAACUCGAGGCUCAACCUCGAGGCGCCGAUGGAAACCAUGUGGCUAGAGUCCGGAAGAGGAGAGUGGAAUUCCUGGUGUAGCGGUGAAAUGCGCAGAUAUCAGGAAGAACACCCGUGGCUAAGGCGGCUCUCUAGUACGGUACUGACGCUGAGACGCGAAAGCGUGGGGAGCAAACAGG